AGCAUGCAUCAGCCACAUUCAUGCUAUCUCCUAAAGCAGUCAUUCUGAAACCCAAUCUGGGGACAGUGCAGACUAAAUAAAAUUUCAUUUUGAUUUGGCCUCCCGCUGCGAACGGGACUGCUUUGUCUCAGCCGACAGAACCAGCAAGCCAGAAAGAGAACAUUGCAAGCCCAGGUAGUCAUUUUGCCCCAGAUGCUGAAAAAAGGAGAUGGCUCCUCUUUCACCUUCUAGUCACACCACCUAUUCUCCAGAAACCUUUCUUCCUUCCUUGUCUUUAAAGAGAGGAUACAAAUUCAGCCUGAAGCUGGGAGCCCUUUGAUUUCUGCUACUAAUGUAGCACAACAAAGCAACAGGACACAGAACCUCCUCUGCUCGCUUUGGCUGGAAGCUUCCACGCUAAUGGCUUGUCCACACUGCUUCCCACGAGUGCCUGCGCUGGUGGAGCUGGGGUAUGCUGACCUGCAGGCAAAGGUGUGAGCAGGCUGCACCCAGAGGAGGAGACGGCUCUGCCAUCUGCCUGUCAGAUGCACAGUUCUCCCAUAUGUCCCCGGAACGACCCGCGAUGUUAUAUCUAAGAGUGUUGUGUGGACGCCACUGGAAUAUGCAUGGCAGGAUGAAUCAGGAUUCAUUUUUAAAUUUAAAGGGCCAUCCAAAUUACCUCCAAGCUUUGUGGACAAGAAGUAACUGUGUUUUACCUGUCAUCGUUGUUGUCGCCACCACCAUCAUCAUCAUACACAAACUUGAGUCAUCUGGAAAGGAGGAAUAUCAACUGAGGAUUACAUUCAUCAGACUGGCCUGUGAGCAAAUCUGUGGGGCAUUUAUUUCAUGACUGAUAAUUGAUGUGGGAGGCCUCAUCCUGCUGUGGGAAGUGCCCUUCCUAGGCAGGUGGCCCUGGCAUGCAUAUGAAAGAAAACUGAGCAAGACAUAAAAAGCGAGCCAGGAAGUAAAGUUCCUCAAUGGUCUCUGCUUGGUUUCUACCUCUGGUUCCUAAGCUGGCUUCCUUCCCGGGCAGACUGGAUAGGAUGUGGAAGCCAGAUAACACUCUCCUCCCCGUGGCAAUAGAAAGCAAAGGAAGCCAUUACAGUCUCAUCUCGAAUUUGAGUGCUUUACUGGGCUGAGGAGAUCCCUUUUUACAAUGCAGAGCAGUGGCAGUGAGCGAGUGUUGGCUGGCACUCAUUCCUGCCAUCCUGAGCGGGAAACAAGUCACCCUCCAGUGGGCUGGGCUGUGCAUCGUGAAGCUCAAGAGGUCAGCAGUGUUCGACAUACUCUCCACUCAGUGUUUUAUUUGGCAGUGAGUUUAUCAAGACAGAACCUCAUCUGUUAAGGAGCUGAAAAAUCAAAUACAGUUUAAAGUUAUGUAAAUUAUGCAUGAGAUCUUUUGACUUUGCCUAACACAUGAGCAAAGACGAGGUAAUGAGUUCCUUGAGCUGUGGGAGAACAGCAAUAUUUAUGAAGACUCAGAAAUCCGGAACUGAAGAAGGCUUUCAUUGGAAUAAACUAGUUUCUUCC